UACAGAGGUCUCAAGCGUUGUUCGGAUUCAUUGGGCGUAAAGAGCUCGUAGGCGGUCUGUUGCGUCCGCUGUGAAAACCCGGGGCUUAACCCUGGGCUGGCAGUGGAUACGGACAGACUAGAAUUCGGUAGGGGAGACUGGAAUUCCUGGUGUAGCGGUGGAAUGCGCAGAUAUCAGGAGGAACACCGGUGGCGAAGGCAGCUCGCUGGGACGGUACUGACGCUGAGACGCGAAAGCGUGGGGAGCAAACAGG
rnacentral:rRNA from 1 species